GUAGGUCAAGUCAGCAUCCACCGCGAGCCUCAGCAUCCUGAAAGCGAGAGGCAGUAGCGUCUCAAACCAUCAUACCCACCAUCCUCUUCCUCUUCAUCGUCUGUGAUUUUAAUCAAACCCCGACAGCACCCUGUUCGCGUGGCUGUGCGCGUUUUCGUGUCCCUGCUCUGGCGGCUCGUUUCGAGGAUGGCGGAGAGCGAGGCAGACACGCCGAGCACGCCGAUUGAGUUUGAGAGCAAAUACUUCGAGUUUGAUGGAGUGCGGCUGCCGCCCUUCUGCAGAGGGAAGAUGGAGGAGAUCGCCAACUUCUCCCUCAGAAGUAGCGACAUUUGGAUUGUCACCUACCCGAAGUCAGGCACGAGUCUACUACAGGAGGUCGUGUAUCUCGUGAGUCAGGGUGCAGACCCCGACGAGAUCGGCCUCAUGAACAUUGAUGAACAGCUGCCCGUCUUAGAGUACCCUCAGCCAGGCCUGGACAUCAUACAGGAGCUGACCUCCCCUCGUCUGAUCAAAAGCCAUCUUCCUUACCGAUUCCUCCCCUCAGCCAUGCACAACGGAGAGGCCAAGGUGAUCUACAUGGCUCGUAACCCGAAGGACCUGGUGGUCUCCUACUACCAGUUCCACCGCUCUCUCAGGACCAUGAGCUACCGUGGGACCUUCCAGGAGUUCUGCCGUCGCUUCAUGAAUGAUAAGCUGGGAUAUGGAUCCUGGUUUGAACAUGUUCAGGAAUUUUGGGAACAUCGUAUGGACUCUAACGUCCUCUUCUUGAAAUAUGAGGACAUGUACAAGGAUCCGGGGAAUCUGGUGGAGCAGCUAGCCCGGUUCCUGGGUGUCUCUUGCGAUAAGUCCCAGCUGGAGAGUAUGGUGGAGAGCUGCAACCAGCUCAUCGAACAGUGCGGGAACUCAGAGGCGCUGUCCGUCUGCAGGGUGCAUGGGAGUCUGAUGUCUGCUCUGCUUUAGGCUAAACACACAGCUGCCUGUCAGUCUGAUGUGACUCAGAUCUCAGAUCAGUCUCUGUCUGACGCUCAGCUCAGCAGGUCGUGUAGGUCUGUGGAAAGACGUCUUCACAGUCUCCAUGAACGACAAGUUUGACACGGUGUACAGACAGAAGAUGGGGAAGUCCGACCUGACCUUUGACUUCUUCCUGUGAGGAGCUCUGCCCCCCCUCGUCCCACCGUCACCACCUCCUGACUUGCCACAUAUCUCCUCCAGUACAGUCGACUUACCGCACACUUCCUGCCACAGACUCACAAACCGACACCUCCAUGCAGUCUGAAGUUUAACCCUUUCACUGACUCACAGGUCAUUAGAGUCCUCUGUGGAAGUCCAAAUGAAUCCAGAUUUAUCAGAAACCAAACGUCCCUCAACCCCCCUACCUCUACAGAGAAUCAGGGGAAGUGAAGCCAAACCUGUAGAGAGAAGUUUAGCGCUUAAAUCAGCACCUUUAGAGACUUCCUUUUCUGUUCGAGGAGCUUUUUGUUUUUACUCAAAGUGCUGCAGGCUUCUUAGCAUCAUCGCUAUCAUCACCGGACAUUUGUGUGCGAGCUUCGUGCGUGUGUGUGUGUGAGCUUUAUGUGUAUGUGUGGAUGUUUGUGAGUGUGUUUCAGAUACAGGGAGAGAGAGAGAGGGGUAUCGAGAGACUGUGUCAGGGUUAACUGAGUGAUUUAAGGAUCUGCCAAUCAAAAUAUAUCCAUCAGUAGAGGUAGGAUUUAAGAGUGAGAAAAACAAUGGCGCCACGACCUCCUGAUUUUAGAAAUGCCAUUGAUAUAUCAAAGUCAAACUUUGACAUUUUAGCUGCUAUCUUGAGUAAAAACAUGAAGGUUAUGUUUGCAGCUCAUGCAUUUGCUGUGUUGUUGUAUUUACAGUGCAGGUAUUUACUGCCCUCUAGUGGCUCAAACGAGCAACUACUGCUUGACUACAGGUGCAGUGUGGCCAAAAACAGAACACUUUGAAAGACUUUAAAUCCACAAUACCUUUUUGAAUCAAACUCAAGACAAGAGACCUUUAUGGGUUUUAGUUUCCUUAGAUUUCAAGAUUAAAAAACAACAUUUAUAUCAGAUUUUAUUAUCAGAAAGUGUCAUGAACAGCUAUAUGAGAGGUAAACUAACCUAUAUUUAAAACAUGAACGUGAGAAUCAAAGUUAGAAAGAGAUUAAAACUCAAAGAGGACAGAGGCAGCUCAAUUAUUUUGACGAUUAAAAUGGAAGUUUUAACAUCCUGAGCCGACAGUGUAUGAGAAAACUUGUAGUUUCACCUCUAAUGACCCUUUAGAUGUACUUUGUCUGUGUCGCUUCGUUUGAGAACUUUAACUGCACAUUAAUUAAAAAACAAAAUCAUAAAUGAGGCGCACUAAGGUUUGAAGUUUUCAUUCGGGUAUCUUAUCUUCCUCUUAAAUUCAAAGUCCUCUUCGUCUCUUACUCAUCAAGCAGAGUUCAGAUAUCAAAUAAAGAAUAAAAUAUUGCAGCAGCAGGCUUCUUUGACUUCGGUUUAAACGUAUAAAACAAUAAAACUAGUGGCGCUAAAUGUGACCGCUCAGCAGGGUGCAUCUGAUAUUUAAAAUGUGGGAUUAAUCAGGAAACAGAUUUUCUUGAAGUCCUCAGAAAGUCUUUGUGGAACAAACCAUGAACACAACAUUUUUAAGGUUGAUGUAGUGGUAACUUUAAAUCACAUCCCUCCCUUCUUCCUGCUCCCUCUGACUCUAAAUGGGAGCAUAAUCUACUAAAUGAACAUCACGCUGUGUUAAAGAAGACUUGAAACUACAGAUUGAGACCUCAAUCUCAUGAGGUAAAAGUUUACCAAGGGAACAAACCAAUGGAGAAGUAACUCAUUUACUCAUCUGCUCUACUCCUUUACGGAGGCAGUAGUCUCCCCCUGCUGGCCACGAGAGAGAAUGCAGGUUGAAGACACUUCUGCACCAUCUUCAAUAUGAAACCUACGUUCUUUUCUCAAACAGGCUGUGGUUGGAUGAUGGCUGAUUGGAGUUCACGAUCAGCCGCUCACUGCACCGCAGCAGAGUCUGCUCUCAGACAUCACGUACAAACAGUCCUCCUCCUCUUCCUCUUCCUCUGUAGUCCUGCAGACUGGUCCGUGCGCUCUUCAGACACUCGUGAAUGUCUUUAUUGUGUGGAUGUAAACGACAACACUCGUCACAGCAGCGCCUCUUUCUUUCUCUCCAUUGUUCUCUCUCUCUUCUGCGUCACUCUGUUUACAGCCGUUGGUAAGGCUUCCCAGUCCGUCUCCUCUUUAUGGUUUGUUUGGGUUUUAUACAUGCCUGCCUCUGUUUCCUGGGCGUCCUGUUCUGAUUUUUCAUGCUUUGCUUGCUGGUUUAUUAAUAAAGUUGUGUCUUCAGGCAAUAA